AGCUUCCCACCAAAAAGGUUUCUUCUAGGUUUCAGCUGCAAUGAUGAACAAAGGGUUCCCGGCUCUGUGGUACCAGCCAAUGUCAACCUGCUAGACUCCACCUGAGGUGAUCUGCCUCCUUGUGUGGUUUGCAUAGCACCAUAUGCUGCCCCGACUGAAUUUUUUACUCAGUGUGAAAUAAUUCCUGUUGACAGGAUAACCACAAUCACAGCAGCCCCCUCAGCCAGCUGGGUCCAGAAUGGAAUUUUGUGCACCACAGACCUCAGAGGUCAGAAGAGAACAUCAACUCCCCUGGGACUGGAGUUCCUGACGGCAGUGAGUUGGCAUAGGGCUCUGGGAAUUGAACCUAGGUCCUCUCUGCAAGAGAAGUAAGAGCUUUUACCUGCUGAACUCACUCUCUACCCCGAGAAGGCUUUUAAAUGACUGCUAACUCUCUCCCCACUGCUGUACCAGGAAGAAAUGCAGGCUCUGAGCUCAUAUCUAACCUCCCAAACAAAAGGCCAGCAUUAAGCAGUCCCCACAGCUCCUCCAU
rnacentral:lncRNA from 1 species